CUGUCUUCAUCUUGUUCGGGGAGCAUCCGUCAUCCGCUUUCUGCACGCAGCUGUAGCACUCCAGGGCCUGCGCUCCUGCCUGGCGGGGUCCAUGGCUCUGUCCUGCUCCCUUGGCGUACCCCCUGGGUGUGCCGCCUCCCAGCUCGGGCCCUCUUACCUGAGCCCAGGAUGAGUAACCUCGCCCCAGGCAACCCCAGCCUUGCCCAACCGGGCCAACUCAGCGUCGGCUGUGGGGCGGGCACCCCCGUUCCCAACAAUGACGAGCACUUCAGUCACCUGGGUGAGGUCAC
rnacentral:lncRNA from 1 species